AUGAGAUUAAAGCAUGUUAAUUGUGAAAAUUUAGGUGUGAAAGGAGAAGGCUUGGGUAACAAAAAUGCACAAGACGUUCAAGAUCGAGGUAAAACCCCAAUUUAAAUGGCCAUGCUACACUCGGAACUAACACACUCCAUAUCGCCCUCAAUGCACUUCCGAACUUAACUUGUGUAAAUGGGUUAAAAUGUUUUGGAUAUUAUGUAG
rnacentral:lncRNA from 1 species